CAUAGACGUUCAUAUCUUGUCCAUAUCGCGUCCGUCCGUCUAAGACCAGUUCUGUACCCAAAAAUGACGUGCAAAAUAGGUAUACUAUUUUGACGUCAAACUAUGAGGUCCAUUAGACGUCUGAAUAUAGUUAAUCAUUUACCCAAUGGGGACUGCCUAAACAGAUGUGUCAAAAAAAAUAACACAUUGGGAUGUGUAGACAGCAUUGACAGAUUAUGUGUCAUUUUUGUGUAAGAUUUCACAGAAUGUGUGAAACCUGAAGUUAAGAGAUUCAUUUCUGGGUCGUGCUACAAGUGAGAAACUAACGGCCGUUUGGCUGUCCAAUCGCGUGACUGUGGACAUUUGAAAGCAGACUUCCGCCCGCCUUUUCUACCGUUGGAAAUGCAAGAUGCGGCGACUUGACUUCAGACACCGAGAGAGGCUGGCGGCCCAGGUCUUGUGGCCACAUCUGUCCAAGCUCCUACUCUGAUUGAACAGUUGGAUGAUCAGACUGAUGAUGAAAAGUGCUACACAGUUCUCACACAUCUUCUGACUCCGAAGCCGCUGCAGUGUAAAAUCUGAGAUGUCUUUUCUGGUUGAUUUUGUGCAGAUUUCUGACAGCGACAGCGAUGGUGAGGGAAGCAGUGUACCGAACUCUCAGAUGACUCGGACCAGGUGACCAAACCCAUGCAAAGCACAAUGACUGUGCUGAGGCGUUCCGCCCCCCUCCCCCUCCACACCACUCAAGGCACGGCGGCGGCCCAACCGCAAACUAACGGAGAUUAACAUGAGGCUGGAUGCGCUUGGCUCCCUGCUGCGUCCAUCACCAGAGGGGCCGGGAUUGCUGCGGCAGCUAGCCAAUUAAAGGAGGAGGAUGAAGGAGAGGAGUCUGACGAUGCCGACAUCGCCAUCGUAUGCAGUCCACGCCCUCGCAGGAAAACCAGCCAAUGAAAACGCUUGCAGCAGCAUCAGCAGAACACACCGGCACGACUGACAGAGCUUCUGAAGCAUGCAGUGGAAGACCUGUCAGUCAAGCUAAAGGUCCCGCCCUCCAACCUGCUGCUGCUGCACGGAGAGGCGGAACUUAACACCUCACACACUAUUGGCCAGCUAGGACUCUGCAUCGCUGACAUCUUUGGUAGGAAUGUGUGUGUGUGUGUGUGUGUGUGUGUGUUUGCGUUUGGGUGUGUUUGCGUGUGGGUCUGUGUUGGUGCAAGUCAGUCUUGGCUCCUUCCUGAUAUUAUACUGUAUAAGUUCAUACGUAUACCGCAUUGCAAAAUGAAUUUCAUAUACAGUAUAUCACGAAAGUGAAUACACACCUCACAGUUUUUGCAGAUUUUUGAUUAUACAUUUUCAUAGGAAAGCAUUACAGAAAUUUCACUUUGACACAAUGAUUAGUGACCUUUUAACAACUUAUUUAACCGCUUAAAUUUCUUGCGUCAGCAUGACAGUCAUGAAGUAACGAAGAUGGUUGACAGUUCUUAUGUUCACUGUCCCUGGGUCGCUACAGUAUGCUCAAAAUUCAUCAUUUAAAGACGGUUUUAGCUAAAUUUUCUCCCAUGGGAGACCAUGCCCCCAGACCCCCCUAGUAUGACUCAACACUAUCCCCCAAAAACGCCACUGCACACCACACAUUCGCGCGCACCGCUGCAGCACACGCGCCGCAGCACACGCGCCGCUCCGUGCCACCGCGCCACGCCGCACCUUUCUCACCUUUUUCACCCCUGACCCGUUUUCAUGCCUGUAUACUUAGUUUGACUGGUAUGCUUCAUACCUUUCAAUCAGUUAAGUAAA